UACCUUCACGGUGGCUUCUGAAUGGCUCUUCCUCAGCUUAUGAAGUUCGUCAUCCAUCUUCUUUGAUUUUUUCAUUAGGUGAUGAACUUUCCUUCUCAGAUCUCAGAUCAUAGACUUCAAAGGAAUCCCUUGCGAUAGGGAAAGAGAUUCGGCAGAGCACUGUUGUUGGAAAACAAGAGCAUCACAACGUAAAUCAUUGCAAG
rnacentral:lncRNA from 1 species